rnacentral:tRNA from 1 species
AAGGAUUUAAGUUAAUAAAACUAUUAGCCUUCAAAGCUGAAAUUAAAGUUUGUACUUUAAGCCUUA